rnacentral:piRNA from 1 species
UUAUUUACCUUUUGAGUGCUUGUGACUGU